CUUGUGGAACAUCUGACCAGGCCCUCUGUCUUUCAAAGUCUCCAUUGAGAAGUCAGGUGUUACCAAUAGGACACACAAGAUCAUCUGGACUGAAUGAGUCUGGAGGAGACAAAGACCCUGACCUAGAGGCAGGAGAAGCUGAGAAGUACCAGAGAGAGAGGGAGAGAAAGGAUUCAUCGACUGUACAAAACAAGUCAUAUAACCACUCCUGACUUCAAGGGGAAGAAGGAUAUGAAUACGAAUGCAUAGUGGUGGUGUCCACCACAGAGAUUAUCUGGGCAUGAGCUGAAGGUCAAACAUUCUGCACAGGAUGCUUUAGAGGUGCGGAGAAGCAAAGAGGAUGGCUAGAGGCUUCGAGGAUCAAUACCUGAGAGGUCCUUACAGAGCAGAGGCUAUGGCAAAGUAAGCUGGGCUCCUGCCUCCAAGUUCCU
rnacentral:sRNA from 1 species